GCCAGCAUGGUGUAGUGGUUUGAGCAUUGGACUAUGACUCUGAAGACCUGGGUUUGAUUCCCUGCUUGGACA